GCUUACCAUGCAGUCGAACGAUGAAGCCCAGCUUGCUGGGUGGAUUAGUGGCGAACGGGUGAGUAACACGUGAGUAACCUGCCCUUAACUCUGGGAUAAGCCUGGGAAACUGGGUCUAAUACCGGAUAGGAGCGUCCACCGCAUGGUGGGUGUUGGAAAGAUUUAUCGGUUUUGGAUGGACUCGCGGCCUAUCAGCUUGUUGGUGAGGUAAUGGCUCACCAAGGCGACGACGGGUAGCCGGCCUGAGAGGGUGACCGGCCACACUGGGACUGAGACACGGCCCAGACUCCUACGGGAGGCAGCAGUGGGGAAUAUUGCACAAUGGGCGAAAGCCUGAUGCAGCGACGCCGCGUGAGGGAUGACGGCCUUCGGGUUGUAAACCUCUUUCAGUAGGGAAGAAGCGAAAGUGACGGUACCUGCAGAAGAAGCACCGGCUAACUACGUGCCAGCAGCCGCGGUAAUACGUAGGGUGCGAGCGUUAUCCGGAAUUAUUGGGCGUAAAGAGCUCGUAGGCGGUUUGUCGCGUCUGUCGUGAAAGUCCGGGGCUUAACCCCGGAUCUGCGGUGGGUACGGGCAGACUAGAGUGCAGUAGGGGAGACUGGAAUUCCUGGUGUAGCGGUGGAAUGCGCAGAUAUCAGGAGGAACACCGAUGGCGAAGGCAGGUCUCUGGGCUGUAACUGACGCUGAGGAGCGAAAGCAUGGGGAGCGAACAGGAUUAGAUACCCUGGUAGUCCAUGCCGUAAACGUUGGGCACUAGGUGUGGGGACCAUUCCACGGUUUCCGCGCCGCAGCUAACGCAUUAAGUGCCCCGCCUGGGGAGUACGGCCGCAAGGCUAAAACUCAAAGGAAUUGACGGGGGCCCGCACAAGCGGCGGAGCAUGCGGAUUAAUUCGAUGCAACGCGAAGAACCUUACCAAGGCUUGACAUGUUCUCGAUCGCCGUAGAGAUACGGUUUCCCCUUUGGGGCGGGUUCACAGGUGGUGCAUGGGUUGUCGUCAGCUCGUGUCGUGGAGAUGUUGGGGUUAAGUCCCGCAA
rnacentral:rRNA from 2 species